rnacentral:tRNA from 1 species
GGGACCGUAGUGUAGCUUGGUAUCACAUCAGGUUCGGGGCCUGGUAACCGGAGUUCGAAUCUCCGCGGUCCCG